AGCACAAUUGCUGGAUCAUAUGGUAAGGGUACAUUUAGUUUUGUAAGAAACUGUCAAAGUGUCCUCCAAAGUGGCUGCACCAUUUUGCAUUUCCAUCAGCAAU
rnacentral:pre_miRNA from 1 species